rnacentral:rRNA from 1 species
AUACGUAGGUGGCAAGCGUUAUCCGGAAUCAUUGGGCGUAAAGGGUGCGUAGGCGGCCUCUUAAGUUUGUAGUGAAAUCGUAGGGCUCAACUCUAUUAAGCUACAAAAACUGGGGGGCUAGAGUGCGGUAGAGGCUAGUGGGAUUCCAAGUGUAGCGGUAAAAUGCGUAGAUAUAUGGAGGAACACCGGUGGCGAAGGCGGCUAGCUGGGCCGUAACUGACGCUGAGGCGCGAAAGUGUGGGGAGCAAACAGGAUUAGAUACCCUGGUAGUCCACACUGUAAACGAUGGAUACUAGGUGUAGGAGGUAUCGACCCCUUCUGUGCCGCAGUUAACACAAUAAGUAUCCCACCUGGGGAGUACGACCGCAAGGUUGAAACUCAAAUGAAUUGGCGGGG